AUUGAACGCUGGCGGCAUGCUUUACACAUGCAAGUCGAACGGGGUGAGGGGCUUGCUCCUCAUCUAGUGGCGAACGGGUGAGUAAUGCAUCGGAACGUACCUUCAAGUGGGGGAUAACGCACCGAAAGGUGUGCUAAUACCGCAUAUCCUGUGAGCAGGAAAGCAGGGGAUUUUAGGACCUUGUGCUUGGAGAGCGGCCGAUGUCGGAUUAGCUAGUUGGUGGGGUAAAGGCCCACCAAGGCAACGAUCCGUAGCGGGUUUGAGAGGAUGAUCCGCCACACUGGGACUGAGACACGGCCCCGACUCCUACGGGAGGCAGCAGUGGGGAAUUUUGGACAAUGGGGGCAACCCUGAUCCAGCCAUGCCGCGUGAGUGAAGAAGGCCUUCGGGUUGUAAAGCUUUUUUGUCCGGGAGCAAAUCCUGGUGGCUAAUACCCGCCGGGGAUGAGAGUACCAGGGAGAAUAAGCACCGGCUAACUACGUG
rnacentral:rRNA from 1 species